GUCCACGCCCUAAACGAUGUCAACUGGUUGUUGGACGGCUUGCUGUUCAGUAACGAAGCUAACGCGUGAAGUUGACCGCCUGGGGAGUACGGCCGCAAGGUUGAAACUCAAAGGAAUUGACGGGGACCCGGCACAAGCGGUGGAUGAUGUGGUUUAAAUUUCGAUGCAACGCGAAAACCUUAACCUACCCUUGACAUGUCAAGAAAUCUUGCAGAGAUGUGAGAGUGCUCGAAAAGAGAACUUGAACACAGGUGCUGCAUGGCCGUCGU
rnacentral:rRNA from 1 species